AGGGAUUGCCCUAGUAACGGCGAGUGAAGCGGCAACAGCUCAAAUUUGAAAGCUGGCCUUCGGGUCCGCAUUGUAAUUUGUAGAGGAUGCUUUGGGGCAGCCGCCUGUCUAAGUUCCUUGGAACAGGACGUCAUAGAGGGUGAGAAUCCCGUAUGUGACAGGACAUGGCACCCUAUGUAAAGCUCCUUCGACGAGUCGAGUUGUUUGGGAAUGCAGCUCUAAAUGGGAGGUAAAUUUCUUCUAAAGCUAAAUACCGGCGAGAGACCGAUAGCGCACAAGUAGAGUGAUCGAAAGAUGAAAAGCACUUUGGAAAGAGAGUUAAAAAGCACGUGAAAUUGUUGAAAGGGAAGCGCUUGCAAUCAGACUUGUUUUGACUGUUCGGCCGGUCUUCUGACCGGUUUACUCAGUCUGGACAGGCCAGCAUCAGUUUUGGCGGCCGGAUAAAGGCUCAGGGAAUGUGGCUCUCACUUCGGUGGGAGUGUUAUAGCCCUGGGUGUAAUACGGCCAGCCGGGACUGAGGUCCGCGCUUCGGCUAGGAUGCUGGCGUA
rnacentral:rRNA from 1 species